UUACUGUAAGGAAUAAGCACCGGCUAAUUCCGUGCCAGCAGCCGCGGUAAUACGGAAGGUGCAAGCGUUAUCCGGUUUUAUUGGGUUUAAAGGGUGCGUAGGCGGCUUAUUAAGUCAGUUGUGAAAUCCUAGUGCUUAACGCUAGAACUGCAAUUGAUACUAUUAGGCUUGAGUUAAGAAUAGGUAAGUAGAAUUUAUGGUGUAGUAGUGAAAUGCUUAGAUAUCAUAAGGAAUACCAAUAGCGUAGGCAGCUUACUGGUCUUUAACUGACGCUGAGGCACGAAAGCGUGGGGAGCAAACAGGAUUAGAUACCCUGGUAGUCCACGCCGUAAACGAUGAUCACUCGGUAUACAUAAAUUUAUGUGUGUCUAAGCGAAAGCGUUAGUUGAUCCACAA
rnacentral:rRNA from 1 species